UAGACCGAUAGCGAACAAGUAGAGUGAUCGAAAGAUGAAAAGCACUUUGAAAAGAGAGUUAAACAGCACGUGAAAUUGUUGAAAGGGAAGCGCUUGCGAUCAGACUCGCCCGCGGGGUUCAGCCGGCAUUCGUGCCGGUGUACUUCCCCGUGGGCGGGCCAGCGUCGGUUUGGGCGGCCGGUCAAAGGCCCCUGGAAUGUAACGCCUCUCGGGGCGUCUUAUAGCCAGGGGUGCCAUGCGGCCUGCCCGGACCGAGGAACGCGCUUCGGCUCGGACGCUGGCAUAAUGGUCGUAAGCGACCCGUCUUGAAACACGGACCAAGAC
rnacentral:rRNA from 1 species